CGGGGUGUGGCCUAGAGGCUUAGGGCGCCUGCUUUGGGAGCAGGAGGUCGCGAGUUCAAAUCUCGCCACCCCGA
rnacentral:tRNA from 1 species